GUCGAACGGAAAGGCCUCAGCUUGCUGGGGUGCUCGAGUGGCGAACGGGUGAGUAACACGUGGGUGAUCUGCCUCGUACUUCGGGAUAAGCCUGGGAAACUGGGUCUAAUACCGGAUAGGACCGCAUCGUAGGGGUGUGGUGGAAAGUUUUUUCGGUACGGGAUGAGCCUGCGGCCUAUCAGCUUGUUGGUGGGGUAAUGGCCUACCAAGGCGUCGACGGGUAGCCGGCCUGAGAGGGUGUACGGCCACAUUGGGACUGAGAUACGGCCCAGACUCCUACGGGAGGCAGCAGUGGGGAAUAUUGCACAAUGGGCGCAAGCCUGAUGCAGCGACGCCGCGUGGGGGAUGACGGCCUUCGGGUUGUAAACUCCUUUCGUCAGGGACGAAGCCUCUUUGUGGGGUGACGGUACCUGGAUAAGAAGCANNNNNUAACUACGUGCCAGCAGCCGCGGUAAUACGUAGGGUGCGAGCGUUGUCCGGAAUUACUGGGCGUAAAGGGCUCGU
rnacentral:rRNA from 1 species